GACGAACGCUGGCGGCGUGCUUAACACAUGCAAGUCGAACGGUGAAGCGCCUUCCUUUUUGGUGGGUGUGGAUGAGUGGCGAACGGGUGAGUAACACGUGAGUAACCUGCCCCCUUCUUCUGCAUAACCGCAUGAAAGUGUGGCCAAUACGGGAUAUUCUGGGUCUGUCGCAUGAUGGGUCUGGGAAAGAUAUUGUUUCGGUGGGGGAUGGGCUCGCGGCCUAUCAGCUUGUUGGUGGGGUGAUGGCCUACCAAGGCGGUGACGGGUAGCCGGCCUGAGAGGGUGGACGGUCACACUGGGACUGAGACACGGCCCAGACUCCUACGGGAGGCAGCAGUGGGGAAUAUUGCACAAUGGGCGCAAGCCUGAUGCAGCGACGCCGCGUGAGGGAUGGAGGCCUUCGGGUUGUGAACCUCUUUCGCCAGUGAAGCAGGCCUGCCUCGUUUGUGGGUGGGUUGACGGUAGCUGGAGAAGAAGCGCCGGCUAACUACGUG
rnacentral:rRNA from 1 species